UCUGGUGGUCCUAGCGGGGUGGAACCACCCGUACCCAUCUCGAACACGGAAGUGAAACACCCCAGCGCCGACGAUACUGCCUGGGCAACUGGGUGGAAAAAUAGGUCACUGCCAGGG
rnacentral:rRNA from 1 species